rnacentral:rRNA from 1 species
GAUGAACGCUGGCGGCGUGCCUAAUACAUGCAAGUCGAGCGAACAGACGAGGAGCUUGCUCCUCUGACGUUAGCGGCGGACGGGUGAGUAACACGUGGAUAACCUACCUAUAAGACUGGGAUAACUUCGGGAAACCGGAGCUAAUACCGGAUAAUAUAUUGAACCGCAUGGUUCAAUAGUGAAAGACGGUUUUGCUGUCACUUAUAGAUGGAUCCGCGCCGCAUUAGCUAGUUGGUAAGGUAACGGCUUACCAAGGCGACGAUGCGUAGCCGACCUGAGAGGGUGAUCGGCCACACUGGAACUGAGACACGGUCCAGACUCCUACGGGAGGCAACAGUAGGGAAUCUUCCGCAAUGGGCGAAAGCCUGACGGAGCAACGCCGCGUGAGUGAUGAAGGUCUUCGGAUCGUAAAACUCUGUUAUUAGGGAAGAACAAAUGUGUAAGUAACUAUGCACGUCUUGACGGUACCUAAUCAGAAAGCCACGGCUAACUACGUG